GACGAACGCUGGCGGCGUGCUUAACACAUGCAAGUCGAGCGGUAAGGCCUCUUCGGGGGUCCACGAGCGGCGAACGGGUGAGUAACACGCGGGUGACCUGCCCUCAGCUCUGGGAUAAGCCUGGGAAACUGGGUCUAAUACCGGAUAUGACCUUUCUUCGCACGGGGUUUGGGGGAAAGUUUUUUUGGCUGGGGGUGGGCCCGCGGGCGAUCAGCUUGUUGGUGGGGUGAUGGCCUACCAAGGCGACGACGGGUAGCCGGCCUGGGGAGGCGACCGGCCACCCUGGGACUGAGACACGGCCCAGGCUCCUUCGGGAGGGCGGAGGGGGGGAUUAUGCGCAAUGGGCGGAAGCCUGGCGCAGCGACGCCGCGUGGGGGGUGGCGGCCUUCGGGUUGGUAACCUCUUUCGACCCCGACGAAUUUGGACGGUAGGGGUAGAAGAAGCACCGGCCAACUACGUG
rnacentral:rRNA from 1 species